AGAUUGAACGCUGGCGGCAGGCCUAACACAUGCAAGUCGAGCGGUAGAGAGGUGCUUGCAUCUCUUGAGAGCGGCGGACGGGUGAGUAAUGCCUAGGAAUCUGCCUAGUGGUGGGGGAUAACGUUCGGAAACGGACGCUAAUACCGCAUACGUCCUACGGGAGAAAGCGGGGGACCUUCGGGCCUCGCGCCAUUAGAUGAGCCUAGGUCGGAUUAGCUAGUUGGUGAGGUAAUGGCU
rnacentral:rRNA from 1 species